AAAACAAUGAAAACUAUCCAAAAUGAAACAAAGAGAGUCAAAAGACUUAGGAAUGAACAGAACCACCAGCAAGCUUUGGGACACAUUCACAUUGGUUACUGGACUCGCAUGUAAUGGAGAUCACAGAGGGGAACUGGGAGGCAGAAAAAUAUUUGAAGAAAUAUUAGUCAAGUAUUUUCCCAAUUUGAGGAAAACCAUAAACCCCAGUUCUAAGAUGCUCACUGAACCCCAAAUAGAAGAAACAUGCAGAAAAUUACGUAGUCACAGCAAAGUAAAAUUGCUGAGAAUAGUGAUAAAAGGUUUUUUUAACAGGCACUUACCAUAAGAUUCAAAUACCCCUGCUGGGUUUUACCCUAGAGAAACUAAAACUUAACGUUCACACAGGAAACUACCCACAGAUUUAUAAUAAUCCAAACUCUGCUCAUAAUAACCCAAACUGGAAACAACCCAAAUGUUCUCUGAAAGGUAAAUUGAUAAACUGUGCUGUCCAUGCAGUGGGCCAUGCGUUCAUCCAAUAAAACAGGACAAGCUAUUGGACAACAUGGAUGAAUCUUCAGAGCUUUAUGUUAAGCGAAAGAAGCCAGUGAAUGAGCCUGUCACUCUCUUUAUGUGAAGUUCUGGAAAAUGCAAAAGCAGAUAAAUGGUUUCCAGGGGGCAAGGAGUCCAAGGGAGGAGACUUACUGCAACGGAGCACAGGGAUCUUUUUGAGAUAAUUGAGAUUUCUUCUCUCCUGAUGGUGGUGGUAGUUAUGAGAUUGACACAUUUUUCAAAACUCAUCAACUGCACGCUAAAAGGGAGUGGAUUUUAUCAUAUGUGAUUUAUACCUCAAUAAAACUUCUUAUUAAAAAAAGGAAUGUGUUUAAAUUUUUUUUAUCCAUUGACCCAGGAGGAUGUCCAUGAUGUAUUAUUGUUAACAGAAGAAAAGCGAGGUUCUUAGUAGUGUGAGUAAUCUGAUCACCUUUAGUAAAGCAACACUGGAAAGAAAUCCUCUAUAUCCCUCUAUAUGUGUACUGAUGUUUGCAGGUUCAUGGAGGAUCCUUUGGUAGAAGGGUACACAACAGGAUUGAGUACAUCAUGAGGGUGGGAAUUGAGAGGGAAAAGAGGAGAGAUUGUUAAAUUUUUCUUAUAUGUCUGCAGGUGGUUUCAUGUUUUACCAUGAGCACCUAUUUUCAUCAUUCAAAAAUGUAAAGCAAAUAAAGGGCAUAUCAAAAUAAGACAGGGACGUGUGUCUGUAGAAAGAAUUCUGGUGGAGAGAAGGGUCCAUUGUGACAGUGCAUGGAGGUCAAAGGGAUGAAGAUGAGGUCAUUAGACUUGACCAAAAGGAGGUCUUUGGUAACCUCUGAGAGCAUCUAAGUAGUGGUGUGGGACCAGAAGUUGGAAUGUGAUAUAUGGAAGAAAGGGCCGUGUGGAUCCUUUGGAACCAAGGACUGGAACUGACAUGCAAGACCUCCAACUGAGGGUUUCAUGAGCACACUCCUUUGCCAAGAUCUUGGUGAAUAGUCUUUAACUGCGCAGUUGUGUCUUAGACAUUGUUUUACUUGUUAUCAUGAUUGUACUUGGCUGGAUGCUUUUUGUUGGACUUGCAUGUUACAUGGGCACAUUUCCGGAGUUCAUGCCUCCAACUCUGAAGUGGAAAGAGAAGUGGUCUGUUCAGGAGGACAAGACACGACUGAGGAGCCAGACCUUGGAAGACCCGCAGCUCUGAGUGAGUGGUCAGGAACCAUGUGGAAGGGGUAUAAGUAUCCCCCAGGAGGGACUCCGGUGGAAAUGAGCAAAGAUGAUCCUGGCGAAGUAAUGCAGCUCUGAAGCUCACCUGGCUGGCUACACAGCUCCUGUUGUUGGUUUUGCAUAAAGUAAUUGCACAUUA